CCUACGGGGGGCUGCAGUGAGGAAUAUUGGUCAAUGGAGGCAACUCUGAACCAGCCAUGCCGCGUGUAGGAAGAAGGCCCUAUGGGUUGUAAACUACUUUUAUUGGGGAAGAAACCCUUUCACGUGUGAGAGGCUGACGGUACCCAAGGAAUAAGGACCGGCUAACUCCGUGCCAGCAGCCGCGGUAAUACGGAGGGUCCAAGCGUUAUCCGGAAUCAUUGGGUUUAAAGGGUGCGCAGGCGGUAAAGUAAGUCAGUGGUGAAAUCUCUUCGCUC
rnacentral:rRNA from 1 species